rnacentral:rRNA from 1 species
AGGCGGCCGGAUGUGUCAGGUGUGAAAGCCCGGGGCUUAACCCCGGAAUUGCGCCUGAAACUGUCCGGCUAGAGUACUGGAGAGGGUAGCGGAAUUCACGGUGUAGCAGUGAAAUGCGUAGAUAUCGUGAGGAACACCAGAGGCGAAGGCGGCUACCUGGACAGUAACUGACGCUCAGGCACGAAAGCGUGGGGAGCAAAAGGGAUUAGAUACCCCUGUAGUCCACGCCCUAAACGGUGCACACUAGGUGUUGGCGGAUUCGACCCCGUCAGCGCCCAAGCUAACGCGUUAAGUGUGCCGCCUGAGGACUACGGCCGCAAGGCUAAAACUCAAAGGAAUUGACGGGGGCCCGCACAAGCGGUGGAGCAUGUGGCUCAAUUCGAUGCAACGCGAAGAACCUUACCAGGCCUUGACAUGCACUAGACCGACGCUGAAAGGCGUCUUCCCUUCGGGGCUGGUGCACAGGUGCUGCAUGGCUGUCGUCAGCUCGUGUCGUGAGAUGUUGCGUUAAGUCGCGCAACGAGCGCAACCCCUGUCCCUAGUUGCCAGCAUUAAGUUGGGACUCUAGGGAGACAAACCUCUUUUAGAGGUGGGAAGGUGGGGAUGACGUCAAGUCAGGAUGGCCCUUACGGCCUGGGCUGCACACGUGCUACAAUGCCCGGUACAGAGGGAAGCAAUACCGCGAGGUGGAGCAAAUCCUCAAAACCGGGCCCAGUUCAGAUUGCAGUCUGCAACUCGACUGCAUGAAGUUGGAAUCGCUAGUAAUGGCGCA